UCUCCGUAGGUGAACCUGCGGAGGGAUCAUUACAGAGUUCAUGCCCUCACGGGUAGAUCUCCCACCCUGUGUUAUUAUACUUUGUCGCUUUGGCAGGCCGCCCGCGUGGGCUACCGGCUCCAGCUGGUAAGUGCCUGCCAGAGGACCCCAAACUCUGAAUAUUUUAUUGUCUGAGUACUAUAUAAUAGUUUAAAACUUUCAACAACGGAUCUCUUGGUUCUG
rnacentral:misc_RNA from 1 species